rnacentral:tRNA from 1 species
UGGUCAGUAGCUCAGUCGGCAGAGCAAGUGGCUGUUAACCACUGGGUCGGGGGUUCAAAUCCCUCCUGACCAG